ensembl:lncRNA
CCAAAGCUCUGUGGGAGUGUGCAGUCACGAUUGUACAAUGAGUGUGAAUUUUAAAUGCUUUGGUCAGCAGUAUGGAAAAGACUUGUAUGGGCAGAAAUCUGUGCCAUCGGAAACUGAAUUUGAAUAAGUUCAAUUUGAAUUUGAAUUGCUCAGAUUUAUGGAAGCCCGUUUCCGCCACUAAAAAAAAAAAAAAAGGAUCCAUAACUCAAAAUUUUGAGUUAUUUUCUUGAAAUUUCGAGUUAUUUUCUCGAAAUUUCAAGUUAUUAUCUCGAAAUUUCGAGUUAUUAUCUCGAAAUUUCGACAUAUUAACUCAAAAUUUUGAGAAAAGCAACUCGAAAUUUCGAGUUAGCGCUGCCAAUCAGUAAUCUACGUGAAUGACGUCAUUUCCAUGUUACCCGGAAGCUGAAGCCCUCAGCUACAAAUGCUACAGCUAAGCUACCGGUAUUACAUCCAGUCGUGAAUGCACAGAUUGCUGAGUGUUUUCAGCCUGGCUUCACAAAUGAUGUGUUAUUAGCUGAAUCACAUGGUGUUACUAUCAGCAAACAUACUUUAAUUUGUUGGGAUCCGUUUUUGAGUGCGCGGUCCUGCGCCAUAUGCUUCCGGGUAACAAGAAAGCGACCUCAUUCACGUAUAUUUUUGAUUGACAGAGCUAACUCGAAAUUUUGAGAAAAGUAACUCGAAAUUUCGAGUUAUUUUCUCGAAAUUUCGAGUUAUUAUCUCGAAAUUUCGAGUUAUGGAUACUAGCUUUUUUUUUUUUUUUAGUGGCGGAAACGGGCUUCCAUACAGAUUGAAUCUGAAUUGUAACUUGAAUAAAUGCUUUUGAAAACUGAAUUUGAAUUAGUCUAAUUUGAAAUUGAAUUUAUGGUUUGAAAAUGAUCAUCACUAAAUUGAAAUUGAAUUUAUAUUUUGAAAAUGAAUUGAUUUGCUUUGAAACUGCAUUUUAUCCUUUAAAAAUUCAGCUCUCGAAUAAUUUCAGUUUCACUUCUCACCAUUCAGUUUCAGGUCUACAAUUCAAUUUCAGUUCCAAAAUUCAGUUUUUUGGAACUUACAUCCGGUUCCGGUUCAAGCGCAGAUUAAUAGAACUACGUUUUACUAGCGGACCGAAAGUGUUACUGACGGGAAUCUACAGCGUCUUGAGCUGAAUUAAGACUUCAGAAGUCAUUCGUCAUGUCGAAUGACCAGCGGAUAAACUCUCAGGGUGAAGAGCCUGAGGCCGGUGACAGUCCAGUUCUACUCUAAGUACAUCCUUACAGUGGCUCACAGGACAAGGCCACAUUCCUGUCCUGCCAGAAGAGAAGACAAACUUCAGAGUCUUCAUGCAGUUCAACCACACCUUUCAUAUUCCAUAUGACAGGGGUCUCAAACUCCAGUCCUCAAGGGUGGACUGGAGUCAUGCAACUUUUCCAUGCCCUCGAGGACUGGAGUUUGAGACCCCUGCCGUAUGGUGUUCAUGCUGUUUUCUACCCCACAGUUACAGCAUGUCUGACUGCCUGUUCAGCA